rnacentral:lncRNA from 1 species
CUUUCCGAAGGGUACCUACUCGACAAAUAGUCGAUUCUGGUCGAAGUUCAACUCUCGGNUGCUUUGGACAUCUUUAGCCUUUCCGAAGGGUACCUACUCGACAAAUAGUCGAUUCUGGUCGAAGUUCAACUCUCGGAUUUCAAGGAUUCACUUCCUUACAUCCUCCCCUCCUUAAAAGGAGUUUCGUCCUCGAAACUAAUCCAAUUCUCAACUUUAACUCAAAUUCAUACCUUAUUCCUCAAACAAGUGAGGAUGGUGCUUUCCCAUCAGAUCCUCGAGUUCCCAGGUGGCCU